GGACGACGCUGGCGGCGCGCCUAACACAUGCAAGUCGAACGAGCAAAGAGGAGCUUGCUUCUCUGAGCGAGUGGCGAACGGGUGAGUAACGCGUGAGGAACCUGCCUCAAAGAGGGGGACAACAGUUGGAAACGACUGCUAAUACCGCAUAAGCCCACGGGUCGGCAUCGACCAGAGGGAAAAGGAGCAAUCCGCUUUGAGAUGGCCUCGCGUCCGAUUAGCUAGUUGGUGAGGUAAUGGCCCACCAAGGCGACGAUCGGUAGCCGGACUGAGAGGUUGAACGGCCACAUUGGGACUGAGACACGGCCCAGACUCCUACGGGAGGCAGCAGUGGGGAAUAUUGCACAAUGGGGGAAACCCUGAUGCAGCGACGCCGCGUGGAGGAAGAAGGUCUUCGGAUUGUAAACUCCUGUUGUUGAGGAAGAUAAUGACGGUACUCAACAAGGAAGUGACGGCUAACUACGUG
rnacentral:rRNA from 1 species